GUCUAUGGCCAUGCCACCCUGAAUGUGCUCGGUCCUGUCUGAUCUCAGAAGCUAAGCAAGAUCAGGCCUGGUUAGUACUUGGAUGGGAGACCACCUAGGAAGACCAGGUGCUGUAGGAG
rnacentral:rRNA from 1 species